GCCUGGGUGGCUCAGUUGGUUGAGCGUCUGACUGUUUGGCUCAGGUCACAAUCCCAGGGUUGUGGGAUCAAGCCCCGCAUUGGGCU
rnacentral:tRNA from 1 species